GCGGAAGUAGCUCAUUUGGUAGAGCGGUAGCCUUCCAAGCUACAGGCGGCGGGUUCGAGCCCCGUCUUCCGCUCCA
rnacentral:tRNA from 1 species